rnacentral:rRNA from 1 species
UGGGGAAUUUUGGACAAUGGGCGAAAGCCUGAUCCAGCAAUGCCGCGUGUGUGAAGAAGGCCUUCGGGUUGUAAAGCACUUUUGUCCGGAAAGAAAUCCUUGGCUCUAAUACAGUCGGGGGAUGACGGUACCGGAAGAAUAAGCACCGGCUAACUACGUGCCAGCAGCCGCGGUAAUACGUAGGGUGCAAGCGUUAAUCGGAAUUACUGGGCGUAAAGCGUGCGCAGGCGGUUUGCUAAGACCGAUGUGAAAUCCCCGGGCUCAACCUGGGAACUGCAUUGGGUGACUGGCAGGCUAGAGUAUGGCAGAGGGGGGUAGAAUUCCACGUGUAGCAGUGAAAUGCGUAGAGAUGUGGAGGAAUACCGAUGGCGAAGGCAGCCCCCUGGGCCAAUACUGACGCUCAUGCACGAAAGCGUGGGGAGCAAACAGGAUUAGAUACCCUGGUAGUCCACGCCCUAAACGAUGUCAACUAGUUGUUGGGGAUUCAUUUCCUUAGUAACGUAGCUAACGCGUGAAGUUGACCGCCUGGGGAGUACGGUCGCAAGAUUAAAACUCAAAUGAAUUGACGGGGUCAUA